UACAGAGGGGGCAAGCGUUGUUCGGAAUUACUGGGCGUAAAGGGCGCGUAGGCGGCCUUCUAAGUCGAACGUGAAAUCCCCGGGCUCAACCCGGGAACUGCGUCCGAUACUGGAAGGCUUGAAUCCGGGAGAGGGAUGUGGAAUUCCAGGUGUAGCGGUGAAAUGCGUAGAUAUCUGGAGGAACACCGGUGGCGAAGGCGGCAUCCUGGACCGGCAUUGACGCUGAGGCGCGAAAGCCAGGGGAGCAAAGC
rnacentral:rRNA from 1 species